rnacentral:rRNA from 1 species
GCUUGCUUUUCAAAACUUAGCGGCGGACGGGUGAGUAACACGUGGGCAACCUGCCCUUGAGACGGGGAUAACUCCGGGAAACCGGAGCUAAUACCGGAUAACACAUAUCUUCGCAUGAGGAUAUGUUAGAAGGUGGCUUUUAGCUACCACUCAAGGAUGGGCCCGCGGCGCAUUAGCUAGUUGGUGAGGUAACGGCUCACCAAGGCGACGAUGCGUAGCCGACCUGAGAGGGUGAUCGGCCACACUGGGACUGAGACACGGCCCAGACUCCUACGGGAGGCAGCAGUAGGGAAUCUUCCGCAAUGGACGAAAGUCUGACGGAGCAACGCCGCGUGAGUGAUGAAGGUUUUCGGAUCGUAAAGCUCUGUUGUUAGGGAAGAACAAGUACCUGUUAAAUAAGCAGGUACCUUGACGGUACCUAACCAGAAAGCCACGGCUAACUACGUGCCAGCAGCCGCGGUAAUACGUAGGUGGCAAGCGUUGUCCGGAAUUAUUGGGCGUAAAGCGCGCGCAGGCGGUUCCUUAAGUCUGAUGUGAAAGCCCACGGCUCAACCGUGGAGGGUCAUUGGAAACUGGGGAACUUGAGUGCAGAAGAGGAGAGCGGAAUUCCACGUGUAGCGGUGAAAUGCGUAGAGAUGUGGAGGAACACCAGUGGCGAAGGCGGCUCUCUGGUCUGUAACUGACGCUGAGGCGCG